UAUGUGUCUGCAAGACUGCUCUCCUACACAACGUACGUAAGAUAGCUGAAUCAGAUGUACAUUGUGGACAUGCUUUGCUAAGUUUCUGUUAUUAAUCAUUGCUGAUCUGUGUUUUCCUGAAAACGUAUAUAAGAAGAUGUACAAUAAACCUCGGUACCUCAGGCUGUUGGCUCGGGGUCCCCGGUGCCUCGCUAUUCUGUCCUCUCUUUUUCUCAGUUCCUUCGCCGCCCCGGGUUCCCGGCCCAUUGAGGUGGAAAAGUGGUGCCGAACAGGGACCUGAAGCCCCCUCUGAGGAGUGAUAGGCAAGCGUUUGGAACUCUACAGAAGGCAAUGGAUCCCGUCAACAAAUAUGGAUACCUCUUUGGAAAGUCCAGCCCAGGAUUAGACAUCAGCAAAAUGAAGGAGACUUCUCAGCCACUAUAAGGCCUGCCUGACGACCCAACCCCUGGUGAAGGAGAUGGUGGCACUGACCCUAUAGAGACCCCAAAAAUAGAAGAUGGCUCCAAUCCCUCCUCCCACAUGGGGACAACUGAAGAAUCUCACACAAUGUGUAGAAUGAGUCCUGGAAACAACUAAAUCCAGCAAAACUCCUAAACGCUUGUUCUCAGCCAUGCUGGCAGUUGUGACUUGAACCUUGGCACACGUAUAGGGGUUUGGCUCCCUGUAAAUUUGACUAGAGGCUGUGAAGAAAACCCUGUAGAGGGUCUUACAUCAAAGGCUACUGCACCCUUAGAAGGCGAAGGAAUGCACAGAGCUUUCAUCAUAAGAUGCUUACUACAGCUGUGGCUUUGAAAGGGAAGAGGGUACUGUGGGAAACAGAACACCACAAUGACCACAGGGGCAUAUUCAUUCAGGUUCCAAGAUCUCUGAGAAAACUUGAGAUCAUAAAGUUAAAAAUAACUUGAGAGGACUUGAGUGAAUUGCUCUUGGGAAAUGUGGUCUGUUCUUUAGUACACAAAUAGGGAUGUUUUGCUUAAAGGAAGUCAGCUGUAUAUAGCACAGUGCAUUCACUCCCUUCUUUGUCUUUGCCUCUAUCAUAAAGAUUCUUAUCGGAACAUAUGUAUCUGCAAGACUGCUCUCCUACACAACAUACGUAAGACAGCUGAAUCAGAUGUACAUUGUUGACAUGCUUUGCUAAGCUUCUGUUGUUAAUCAUUGCUGAUCUGGUUUUUUUCCUGAAAACAUAUAUAAGAAGAUGUACAAUAAACCUUGGUACCUCGGGCUGUUGGCUCGGGGCACCCUGUGCCUCGCUA